CCUGUGCAGCGUUAUUGCGUCUGGAAUAAGGAAAAUGUCUGCAGGGCAGUUUACAUAUUAACCGCAUUUCCCACUAUCUCGCUCUUUUUUUACUGCAUGGCGAAAUGCUGCAGCAAGAAAGUUAAUCCUUUGUUGAAUUUUUAUGGCGUUUUACUGCAGUGAUUAGGCCAGAAGAUCAAAUAUUUAGUGAGCUACUCAAGGCUGGACUUGCCUGGUUGCUUGAAGCAGUUUACAGUUUUUUUUUUUUUUUUGUAGACUUUGACCCCUUAGAAGUAGGCGAGUUUAUGGUGGUGUGGAGGAAAACAAUGGGAGAAUUGACCUACAGACUUUCCCAUUGACUCAGUCCGUGAAUGUCUUAUGACCUCUGAUACCUACAUCACAGGUGCUGCGCAUUUGUCUCGUGUUAUUUCAGGUAACUAAUGUCCUGGCAUCACCUUCCUCUCCGUCUGAUAACUAUAGAGAGCACAAUUUGCUAUGUAAUUUAUGCAGUUGCUACUUAAAUGUUGCAGCACUGACCAAAUAUUAAAGUCACUCAGUCUCAUUAUACACUAUGCAGACACUCUGUCUGCAUGGAUAAAGACUCACUACCUCAACAAUGAGGUUAAACUUGGACUGAUGGCGCCUCCUCUCCACGAGUUCAUUGUCUGCUAAUUGAACAUUAAACUUUUAGCCCAAGGUUGUGAGGUAAUCAUUAAACAUGAGAAAACGAAUAAACAAGACAUCGCU